UGAACUUUGAAUCGUUAAUCUUCAUGGCUGAAAUUAACUACCGAAGAAAGCGUGCUCUGGCACUUUGACUCAAUUAAUAGACGAUGAAACUAGCAGAAUUUUCCAAAAAGAAGGUAGAGGGAUACCUGGGUAAGAUCAAUGAUCGAACGCAGAAAAGAAUUUGAGUGUAUCAUCAUCUUGUAGAGGACGAACUUUCUUAUCAAAAUUUCUUCAGGAUGAAUUCACAACAUUUCUAGUUUCUUGUGGACCAGGUAUCAUACCAUAUCCAAAAACAAAAUGCAGAUAUAUGCGGGAGAGCAUUAGGCCAGACGAAAGAAUGACUGUGACCUUACGAUUUGAUCAUUCGAUAAUUUGAUGAUCUUGGGUGUGAUUGGUUGCUUAUUCAAGGUGUUUUUCUUCGAUGUGAUUGGUUGCUUGUUCAAGGUGCUUCUAUAAACGCCUGUUCGCAGGAUAAGUGUUUCGAAACAUUGCGAGACAGGUUUAGCGAAUACUGUCGGUUGCACGGUGCAAUGUCGGCGAGCAAAAGGAGCUCGCAGAACCUUUCAACUUUUCGCGAAACUUGCCUCGAAAUGAAAAGGUGUUAAACAUGGAAGGGUGUUAAGCGUUGCAAAGUGUCACGAGAGACGUUGAGUUGCAUCGUGUAACAGAAGCGUGAAUCUUAAUUAAUUUUGAUCGGGCAGUCUUGGGACUAGAUCAAUAAUAUACAUCACCACACGUGUGGCCGAAGAGGAACACUCAUUGACGUCUAUCAAGACAAAAAAUUCACAGU